rnacentral:rRNA from 1 species
UACAGAGGUGGCAAGCGUUGUUCGGAAUUACUGGGCGUAAAGGGCGCGUAGGCGGCCUUCUCAGUCAGACGUGAAAUCCCCAGGCUUAACUUGGGAACUGCGUCUGAUACUGGAAGGCUUGAGUGCGGGAGAGGGAUGUGGAAUUCCAGGUGUAGCGGUGAAAUGCGUAGAUAUCUGGAGGAACACCGGUGGCGAAGGCGGCAUCCUGGACCGACACUGACGCUGAGGCGCGAAAGCUAGGGGAGCAAACGGG